AAUGGGGGAAACCCUGAUCCGGCAAUGCCGCGUGAGUGAAGAAGGCCUUCGGGUUGUAAAGCUCUUUCAGUUGAGAAGAAAAGAUUAUGACUAAUAAUCAUAUUUCAUGACGGUAUCAGCAGAAGAAGCACCGGCUAACUACGUGCCAGCAGCCGCGGUAAUACGUAGGGUGCAAGCGUUAAUCGGAAUUACUGGGCGUAAAGGGUACGCAGGCGGUUAUGUAAGUCAGAUGCGAAAUCCCCGGGCUUAACCUGGGAAUUGCGUUUGAAACUACAUGACUAGAGUGUGGCAGAGGGAAGCGGAAUUCCAUGUGUAGCAGUGAAAUGCGUAGAGAUGUGGAGGAACACCGAUGGCGAAGGCAGCCCCCUGGGUCGACACUGACGCUCAUGCACGAAAGCGUGGGGAGCAAA
rnacentral:rRNA from 1 species